CCUACGGGAGGCAGCAGUGGGGAAUAUUGGUCAAUGGGCGCAAGCCUGACCCAGCAACGCCGCGUGAAGGAAGAAGGCUUUCGGGUUGUAAACUUCUUUUGACAGGGAAGAGUAUAAGUCGGUACCUGUCGAUUAAGCCACGGCUUACUACGUGCCAGCAGCCGCGGUAAUACGUAGGUGGCAAGCGUGGUCCGGAUUUGCUGGGUGUAAAGGGCGUGUAGGCGGGUUGACAAGUCAGAUGUGAAAUACUUGGGCCUAAACGCAGAACUGCAUUUGAGACUGUUGUUCUUGAGUACUGGAGAGGCAGACGGAAUUCGUAGUGGAGCGGUGAAAUGCGUAGAUAUCAGGAGGAACACCAGUGGCGAAGGCGGUCUGCUGGACAGCAACUGACGGUGAGGCGCGAAAGCGUGGGGAGCAAACAGGAUUAGAUACCCCUGUAGUC
rnacentral:rRNA from 1 species